CUACUACUCCCUUUGUCCAAAAAUACUUGUCAUCAAAAUGGAUAGAAAGAGAUGUAUCUAGAACUAAAAUAUGUCUACAUACAUCCCCUUUUAUCCAUUUUGAUUACAAGUAUUUCCGUACGGAGGGACUAUGAU
rnacentral:pre_miRNA from 1 species